rnacentral:rRNA from 1 species
UGGGGAAUAUUGCACAAUGGGCGAAAGCCUGAUGCAGCAACGCCGCGUGAGGGACGACGGCCUUCGGGUUGUAAACCUCUUUUAGCAAGGAAGAAGCGAAAGUGACGGUACUUGCAGAAAAAGCGCCGGCUAACUACGUGCCAGCAGCCGCGGUAAUACGUAGGGCGCAAGCGUUAUCCGGAAUUAUUGGGCGUAAAGAGCUCGUAGGCGGUUUGUCGCGUCUGCUGUGAAAACCCGAGGCUCAACCUCGGGCCUGCAGUGGGUACGGGCAGACUAGAGUGCGGUAGGGGAGAUUGGAACUCCUGGUGUAGCGGUGGAAUGCGCAGAUAUCAGGAAGAACACCGAUGGCGAAGGCAGAUCUCUGGGCCGUAACUGACGCUGAGGAGCGAAAGGGUGGGGAGCAAACAGGCUUAGAUACCCUGGUAGUCCACCCGUAACGUUGGGAACUAGUUGUGGGGUCCAUUCCACGGAUUCCGUGACGCAGCUAACGCAUUAAGUUCCCCGCCUGGGGAGUACGGCCGCAAGGCUAAACUUAAGGAAUUGACGGGGUCAUAGCUGUUUCCU